AUAUGCCUAGUUUAAUAAGAAUAAUAGUUUGUCGUACUAUAGGUGGGGUUUGUCUUCGGGGUAUG
rnacentral:tRNA from 1 species